rnacentral:lncRNA from 1 species
CUGGCACCUCCUUCAGUAGCCCUCCUCCGCUGGAUCUCAGGGCGCACCAAGAUCUCCUUAGGCGAGUAGCUCAGAAUCUGAGCCUGCAAGCCGAGGAGGUCUCUGAGAUCGAGGACCCUAUCGUCACCAUUCUCUCAUCUGAUGCCCCCACCAGGGUCGCCCUACCCUUCAUUAGGACGAUCCAGGCGAACGCCAAUACAAUCUGGCAGUCACCGGCCUCCAUCCCCCCUACGGCGAGGGGCGUCGAGAGGAAGUACAUGGCCCCCUCCAAGGGCUACGAGUAUCUCCACGUCCACCCGACACCGUGUUCCCUGGUGGUGCAGUCGGUGAACGAGAGGGAGCGCCACGGACAGGAAGCUCCAGCCCCCAAAUCCAAGGAGGCCAGGCGUAUGGACCUCCUCGGCCGCAAGGUCUAUUCGGCUGGGGCCCUUCAGCUCAGGGUUUCAAAUCAACAAGCCCUGCUCAGCAGAUAUGCUUUUAACUCGUGGGUGGCAGCGGACAAAUUCAAAGAGCUGCUGCCACAGGAGGCCCGCCAAGAAUUUGCGGCCAUUCUGGACGAGGGCAAGAAGGUUGCACGAACCUCGUUGCAAGCUUCUUUGGACGCUGCAGACUCGGCUGCCCGCACCCUCGCCUCGGGGGUAACGAUGCGCCGUAUCUCCUGGCUUCAGGUCUCUGGCCUUCCACCGGAGCUCCAAUACACCAUCCAGGACCUCCCGUUCGAAGGCCAGGGCCUGUUUUCAGAAAAGACAGACCCCAGACUUAAAAGUCUCAAAGACAAUCGGGUCAUUAUGCGCUCCCUCGGGAUGCACACGCCGGGAACGCAGCGCAGACCCUUCCGGCCACAGCAGCAACAGCAGCGCAGGCCAUACCCCCAGUUCCGCCAACGGCAGGCCCUCAAUAGGUGCCGUGGCAGGAAUGGAAGGCGUAGACAUUCGGAGAACCAGGGCGGGCAGAAUCAAAGCUCCUCUAAGCCCCCGCCUGGGCCCAAGCCUUUGUUUUGAAGGUGCGCCCGAGGGCUCAAUAACAGUCUUCCCCACGGAUCCUUCCCCCCCGUUU